GCGUAACGCGAAUGCAACCUACCUAUCAUAGGGGGAUAGCCCGGGGAAACCCGGAUUAAUACCGCAUAAAACAGGGGCACCGCAUGGUGAUAUUUGUUAAAGAUUUAUUGGUGAUAGAUGGGCAUGCGUUCGAUUAGCUAGUUGGCGGGGUAACGGCCCACCAAGGCGACGAUCGAUAGGGGAGCUGAGAGGUUGAUCCCCCACACGGGCACUGAGAUACGGGCCCGACUCCUACGGGAGGCAGCAGUAGGGAAUAUUGGGCAAUGGAUGCAAGUCUGACCCAGCCAUGCCGCGUGCCGGAUGAAGGCCCUCAGGGUUGUAAACGGCUUUUAUUCGGGAAGAAGAGCAGGGAUGCGUCCUUGUGUGACGGUACCGAAUGAAUAAGCACCGGCUAACUCCGUGCCAGCAGCCGCGGUAAUACGGAGGGUGCGAGCGUUGUCCGGAUUUAUUGGGUUUAAAGGGUGCGUAGGUGGCUGUUUAAGUCAGUGGUGAAAUACGGUUGCUCAACAAUCGAGGUGCCAUUGAUACUGAAUAGCUUGAAAUAAUUGGAGGCUGCCGGAAUGGAUGGUGUAGCGGUGAAAUGCAUAGAUAUCAUCCCAGAACACCGAUUGCGAAGGCAGGUGGCUACGAUUGGUUUGACACUGAGGCACGAAAGCAUGGGGAGCAAACAGGAUUAGAUACCCUGGUAGUCCAUGCUGUAAAACGAUGAGGACUCGCUGUUUGAUGGCAACAUUGAGCGGCUUAGGGAAACCGUUAAAGUCCUCCACCUGGGGGAGUACGCCGGCAACGGUGAAACUUCAAAGGAUUUGACGGGGG
rnacentral:rRNA from 1 species